CCUACGGGUGGCAGCAGUGGGGAAUAUUGGGCAAUGGAGGCAACUCUGACCCAGCAAGGCCGCGUGAAUGAAGAAGGUCUUCGGAUUGUAAAGUUCUUUAAUUGGGGACGAAAAAAAUGAAGGUACUCAAGGAAUAAGCACCGGCUAACUACGGGCCAGCAGCCGCGGUAAUACGUAGGGGGCAAGCGUUGUUCGGAAUGACUGGGCGUAAAGGGUGUGUAGGGGGGGUAGCAAGGUAGAAGUGAAAUACCUAGACCUUAACUCAGGUGCGGCUUCUAAUACUGCUAUACUUGAGUGCAGGAGAGGAAAGUGGAAUUCCGAGUGUAGCGGUGGAAUGCGUAGAUAUUAGGAGGAACAUCAGUGGCGAAGGCGACUUUCUGGACUGUAACUGACGCUGAGGCACGAAAGUGUGGGGAGCAAACAGGAUUAGAUACCCCAGUAGUC
rnacentral:rRNA from 1 species